GAAAAUGAUGAGAGAAAUUUUGGAAUCUCGUUCGUCUGAACUGCUGUUGAUAAAAUUUAAAUCUGAAGUCA
ensembl:snoRNA SNORD30 Small nucleolar RNA SNORD30